GUGAGAUUUUGUAUGGGAUGACGUUUUGAGUGGCAUUCUGUAAGGAAAUUCCAGCCUCAUUCCGAAACACACUUCGCACUCGAAUGCGCUCCAAAAUGUCAAAUAAAAAGUUAGUAUUUUGUGAGCGAGAAUAGACGGAGUUUUAGAAAAUUGCAUUAAAAUUACAUUUAUUAGUGUUCAAAUGUGUUAAAAAUAAGUUUUGUGAUAUUUAUUUGAACUAAAUUAUGCAUAUUAGGGAUGACACGAAUGUUUUUAUUAAAGGCAAAUGGAUUUCAACUCAAGUAAAGAUUAAACAGAUAAAGAUCUAAAUAAGUCAAAUGCGGAUCCAACUUAAUAUGGUGGAAUGGUGGUGCUAUGCAAGUCUGAUUUAUUUUUAAUCACUGUAUCUACCUACCUAUAGUAAAAAAACCACUUAAGAGAUGUACAAAGGCUGGUGAUGAAGUGGUUUUGCUUGGUGAUUUAGGAUAUGCUCCAUGCGCCUGCCUAAUGACACCAGUGAGUGGUACCGAAGAUAAUUCCCCAGAAGCACUCAUAUUCUGCAAACUAUAAAUCAAACAUUUUACAUCUCCAUGUAUGUACCUAAAAGAAUAAUAAGUGUGGAUACCUACAAACUUUCAUUAAAAUUUUUGUUUUAUCUUAAUUAUUUUGAAUAAUAAAAUAUACCUAUGUAUAAAUGUAUUUCGUAUUUAAAAUAAUUAUUAAGACUACCUCUAAUUAUCAUUACUUUCUGAGGGGCACAGUAAU